AGAGUUUGAUCAUGGCUCAGGAUGAACGCUAGCGGCAGGCUUAACACAUGCAAGUCGAGGGGUAACAGAGUAGCUUGCUACUGCUGACGACCGGCGCACGGGUGCGUAACGCGUAUACAAUCUACCUUAUACUGGGGUAUAGCCUUUAGAAAUGAAGAUUAACCCCCCAUAGUCUCUAAGAGUGGCAUCACAUUUAGAGUAAAGGUUACGGUAUAAGAUGAGUAUGCGUUCUAUUAGUUUGUUGGUGAGGUAACGGCUUACCAAGACUACGAUAGAUAGGGGCCCUGAGAGGGGGAUCCCCCACACUGGUACUGAGACACGGACCAGACUCCUACAGGAGGCAGCAGUGAGGAAUAUUGGACAAUGGAGGCAACUCUGAUCCAGCCAUGCCGCGUGUAGGAUGACUGCCCUAUGGGUUGUAAACUACUUUUAUACAGGAAGAAACACCUCUACGUGUAGAGGCUUGACGGUACUGUAAGAAUAAGGAUCGGCUAACUCCGUGCCAGCAGCCGCGGUAAUACGGAGGAUCCAAGCGUUAUCCGGAAUCAUUGGGUUUAAAGGGUCCGUAGGUGGAUAAUUAAGUCAGAGGUGAAAUCUUGCAGCUCAACUGUAAAAUUGCCUUUGAAACUGGUUAUCUUGAGUUAUUAUGAAGUAGUUAGAAUAUGUAGUGUAGCGGUGAAAUGCAUAGAUAUUACAUAGAAUACCAAUUGCGAAGGCAGAUUACUAAUAAUCAACUGACACUGAUGGACGAAAGCGUGGGUAGCGAACAGGAUUAGAUACCCUGGUAGUCCACGCCGUAAACGAUGGUUACUAGCUGUUUGGACUUCGGUCUGAGUGGCUAAGCGAAAGUGAUAAGUAACCCACCUGGGGAGUACGUUCGCAAGAAUGAAACUCAAAGGAAUUGACGGGGGCCCGCACAAGCGGUGGAGCAUGUGGUUUAAUUCGAUGAUACGCGAGGAACCUUACCAGGGCUUAAAUGUAAGUUGCAUUAGUUAGAGAUAGCUAUUUCUUCGGACCACUUACAAGGUGCUGCAUGGUUGUCGUCAGCUCGUGCCGUGAGGUGUCAGGUUAAGUCCUAUAACGAGCGCAACCCCUGUUGUUAGUUGCCAGCGAGUCAUGUCGGGAACUCUAACAAGACUGCCAGUGCAAACUGUGAGGAAGGUGGGGAUGACGUCAAAUCAUCACGGCCCUUACGUCCUGGGCUACACACGUGCUACAAUGGUAGGGACAGAGAGCAGCCACUGGGCGACCAGGAGCGAAUCUAUAAACCCUAUCACAGUUCGGAUCGGAGUCUGCAACUCGACUCCGUGAAGCUGGAAUCGCUAGUAAUCGGAUAUCAGCCAUGAUCCGGUGAAUACGUUCCCGGGCCUUGUACACACCGCCCGUCAAGCCAUGGAAGUUGGAAGUGCCUGAAGUCCGUCACCGCAAGGAGCGGCCUAGGGUAAAGUCGAUAACUAGGGCUAAGUCGUAACAAGGUA
rnacentral:rRNA from 1 species